GGGGGGUGCAAGCGUUGUUCGGAAUCAUUGGGCGUAAAGCGCGUGUAGGCGGUUUUGCAAGUCAGAUGUGAAAGCCCUCGGCCCAACCGAGGAAGUGCAUUUGAUACUGCAGAACUAGAGUACGGGAGAGGAAAGCGGAAUUCCUAGUGUAGAGGUGAAAUUCGUAGAUAUUAGGAGGAACACCAGUGGCGAAGGCGGCUUUCUGGACCAGUACUGACGCUGAGACGCGAAAGCGUGGGGAGCAAACAGGGAUUAGAUACCCUGGUAGUCCACGCCGCAAACGAUGGAUACUAGGUGUGAGAGGUAUUAACUCCGCUCGUGCCGUAGGUAACCCAUUAAGUAUCCCGCCUGGGGAGUACGGUCGCAAGAUUA
rnacentral:rRNA from 1 species